GAUGAACGCUAGCUACAGGCUUAACACAUGCAAGUCGAGGGGCAGCGCAGUGUAGCAAUACAUGGGCGGCGACCGGCGCACGGGUGCGUAACGCGUAUCCAACCUUCCCGAUACUCAGGGAUAGCCUUCCGAAAGGGAGAUUAAUACCUGAUGGUGUUGAAAUUCCGCAUGUUAUUUCAACUAAAGAUUUAUCGGUAACGGAUGGGGAUGCGUGACAUUAGGUAGAUGGCGGGGUAACGGCCCACCAUGGCAACGAUGUCUAGGGGUUCUGAGAGGAAGGUCCCCCACACUGGAACUGAGACACGGCCCAGACUCCUACGGGAGGCAGCAGUGGGGAAUAUUGCACAAUGGGGGAAACCCUGAUGCAGCCAAGUAGCGUGAAGGAUGAAGGUUCUAUGGAUUGUAAACUUCUUUAUACGGGAAUAAAACCUCCCAGUGUGGGAGCUUGUAUGUACCGUAUGAAUAAGCAUCGGCUAACUCCGUG
rnacentral:rRNA from 1 species